rnacentral:rRNA from 1 species
UAAACGCUGGCGGCGUGCAUGAGACAUGCAAGUCGAACGAAGGAUCGGGCUUGCUCGAUCCUUAGUGGCGGACGGCUGAGUAACGCGUAGGUGACCUACCCCGAAGUGGGGAAUAACUGCCCGAAAGGGCGGCUAAUACCGCAUGUGGUCGCACGUUCAUUCGUGCGAGUAAAGCCGCAAGGCGCUUCGGGAGGGGCCUGCGUCCGAUUAGCUCGUUGGUGGGGUAAUGGCUUACCAAGGCGACGAUCGGUAGGUGGUCUGAGAGGACGAUCACCCAGACUGGGACUGAGACACGGCCCAGACUCCUACGGGAGGCAGCAGUCGGGAAUUUUGCUCAAUGGGGGAAACCCUGAAGCAGCAACGCCGCGUGAGGGAUGAAGGCCUUCGGGUUGUAAACCUCUUUUGUCAGGGACGAUGAUGACGGUACCUGGCGAAUAAGCCACGGCUAACUACGUG